rnacentral:rRNA from 1 species
AUUGAACGCUGGCGGCAGGCCUAACACAUGCAAGUCGAACGAGUGGCGGACGGGCGAGUAACGUCUGGGAAACUGCCUGAUGGAGGGGGAUAACUACUGGAAACGGUAGCUAAUACCGCAUACCAUCAGAUGUGCCUAGAUGGGAUUAGUUUGUUGGUGGGGUAACGGCUCACCAAUGCGACGAUCCCUAGCCGGGCUGAGAGGCUGACCAGCCACACUGGAACUGAGACGGGGUCCAGACUCCUACGGGAGGCAACAGUGGGAAAUAUUGCACAAUGGGCGCAAUCCUGAUGCAGCCAUGCCGCGUGUAUGAAGAAGGCCUUCGGGUUGUAAAGUACUUUCAGCGGGGAGGCGUUACCCGCAGAAGAAGCACCGGCUAACUCCGUGCAAGCCGCCGCGGUAUUC